GUGGCGAAUAUUGGGCAAUGGGGGAAACCCUGACCCAGCAACGCCGCGUGAAGGAAGAAGGUUUUCGGAUCGUAAACUUCUAUCCUUGGUGAAGAUAAUGACGGUAGCCAAGAAGGAAGCCCCGGCUAACUACGUGCCAGCAGCCGCGGUAAUACGUAGGGGGCAAGCGUUGGCCGGAAUGAUUGGGCGUAAAGGGCGCGUAGGCGGCCUGGUAAGUCUGGAGUGAAAGUCCUGCUUUUAAGGUGGGAAUUGCUUUGGAUACUGUCGGGCUUGAGGGCAGGAGAGGUAAGCGGAAUUCGCGGUGUAGCGGUGAAAUGCGUAGAGAUCGGGAGGAACACCAGUGGCGAAGGCGGCUUACUGGACUGUAACUGACGCUGAGGCGCGAAAGUGUGGGGAGCAAACAGGAUUAGAUACCCGUGUAGUCC
rnacentral:rRNA from 1 species